GAAAUGCGAUAAGUAAUGUGAAUUGCAGAACUUCGUGAAUCAUCAAAUCUUUGAACGCAUCUUGCGCUCUGGGGAAACUCAGAGCAUGCCUGUUUGAGUAUCAUUUAAAUUCUCACAUUAGCUUGCUAUUGUGGACUUGAAUCUCUGGCCGUCAAAAGUCAGUGUUUCGAAAAUAAAUGUAAAUGUCAAAGCUUCGGUUUUGCCCGGAUUCGCGUGCGUAUGUCAUGUGUUUACGGUGUCGGGAUUUUAUACAUUGCUUCAGUGCGCUCCCAUAAUGCGAACAUUGAUUGCCCUGUGCAAUUUUCCUUUUCGUGUAACAAUGGGCGAGUAUGAAUCUCAUCAACUCUUGGUCUCAAAUCAGGCAAGAUUACCCGCUGAACUUAA
rnacentral:misc_RNA from 1 species